GCCCUGCCUGCCCCGGGCCCGCGGCCCGCUCGGGCCCUGGCUCCGCGUCCCUGCCCGGUUCCCGCCGGCACACACCUUCCCACCGCGUGUCAGGGCGACCUUGGAGCGCUGCCGCGGCCGCUCCGUGCCAGACUCCGCGGCGAUGCCCACGGCACAGCCGGGGGUGACGGAUCGGCAGGAAGGGGGAUUUUUUUCCCCAUUUGUUUAUUCGUUGGGUGGGUUUUUCCCUUGCCGGAGACAAAGGCAGGCUGUGUGCCCGGGCGUGGGGUCCGGGGGUGCCGGCGGUGCCGGGACCCCGUGGCGGUGCCGGCCCGGCCGCGCCGGGGGCUCUGGGUGGCCGGUUUCCUCCGCACACAGAUGGCUCUUUCGACUCAGUCGAGCGCUUGACCUAAAUCUCCUCCUGAUCCACGGGAGCUGCAGUCCCUCAGCAGCACAGCUCAAGGCAAGGAGGAGGAGGAGGAUGAAGGGGGGGACCGCGGCCAGCUGCGGACCGGCGGGAGGGUCGUGCCGGAGGGCCCCCACCCCGGGUUUGGCAGCAGGGCCGGCGGAGGCGGCGGUGGAGGGAAGGAGGGAGGGAAAGGGGGGGUGGAAAAAAAAAGUCUCCCACGCUUCGAGCUCCAGCGCCGGCCGCCCGCGCCUGCGUGCUGCACCCACCGGGACCGGGCAACCGCCCCGCCGGGCUCGACGCCCCGGCAGACCACUUCCUCGGAGAGGGGCCCGCCGGAGGAAGCUCCAACGGCUCGAAAGUUUCGCCUGUGACUCAACCGCUGGCUGGGGCUCCGCGCUCCCGGCCCCAGGGACAUGGGGACAUCUCGACACCCGGCCAGCGCCACUGCGGCACUCCCAGCUUGGACCCCCUCCCACUCGCGGAUGCAGAUGGAUGAUGCUGCGACCGGCUCUGCCCACCCCGAGGUGCCCCCGAAUCCUCCAAGGCUCUGCACUCCAGCCCCAGGGACACGGAGACAUCUCAACACCCAGCCCAUGCCCCUGUGGCACUACCGGCUCGGAUCCCUCUCCCACCCCGGGAUGCUGA
rnacentral:lncRNA from 14 species